rnacentral:lncRNA from 1 species
AUUCUGUUAUGUGGAAUGCCUUUAUACAUCUUUGUCUACUGGUUGGGAUGCUGCUCAUUUCCCUUUUCCUGAAAGCUUUCCAGACACUCAAGGUGCCAUAAGGCAAAAUAUAAUAGUUUAUAUUUCUGUGUCCUCAAACAUCGUAAACAGUCAAUGUGUCGGAUGAACUUUUCUCCAAUUCAUUAUAACCAGACAAUAGGUUCUUUGAAGGCUAUGACCAAAUCGUGAGCCCAUUUUCCUUCCUUAACAUACUGCACCCAAAUGAGCAGAACCUAGUGGAGAUCUUGCGGCUUAGAGCUUGCUGAAUUUGGUAAAGACAAAAAUUCUUGUGUUAUGUGUGGUGGUUGCAUGUGCAUGUGUGUUAGUGUAGGUGCUGUGUGUGUGUGUGUGUGUGUGUGUGUGUGUUUGCAUGGGGCAAUAUGGAGAUAGUGAUGGAGUACAAGAAGGAGCUUGACUUUCAUGAGCUCCUGAGAAAACUCAUCUAUCCAUCAAUCCCCCAUGCAAUUACUAAGUGCUUAAUCCAUGCCAGGCACUGUUAGAAGGCACCAGGAAGACAAAGUUCCUGCCAUCGACACUUACAUACUAGAGGAGGAAAUAGGAAAUAAACAGGUAAGGAAAUACAUGCAAAGUAUGAUAUUAGGAUGUGAUAAGCAUUAUCAAGUGAGUAAAAUGGAGAAAAGGAAUAGAAAGUGACAGGGGUUGCAAUUUUGGAAUAGAUGAUUAGAGAAGUCCUACCAGCAAAGUGACAUUUGUUGAGCAGGAACAUAAAAGAGGUGAGGUAUUAAGCUAGGUACGUAUCUAAAAAAAAAUGUAUUUCCAGGCAGAGGAAACAGUAAUGGCAAAGGUUUUAGAGAAAAAAAAAAGUAUAACCCAGGUUAACCUCUCUUGCAGAACUAGUUUAGCCUGUCCCUUUUACUGGUGAAAUCACUGUUAAUGUUUCUGUAGUAAAGGUAGUGUUUUAAAUGAUUUAUAUAAUACAAUAAAAUUUGUAAUCUCAUUCAAGCUCCUUUCUUCAUCUUUAAAAUGAAGUUAAACUCGGGAAAAAAGGAUUGUUCUAGCUCUGAAUUGCUGCACUACUGUGACUUAAGUGCUCCUCUGCUCUCCUAGCAGCACUUUUAUCUUACGAAUUUAUAUUUAUAUAUAUAUGAUUAGAACAUUAUAAAGUAGAAAAAAUUAUGGUUGUUAUUUUUAUUAGUAGUAGUAUUUUGUCUGUAUUUUGUGAUUUCUGAAGCUGUGGCUACCUGGUUCUUUCUGUUUCAAUUAUGACUUUAAUUGUGAGGCAACACUGUAAAGCACUCAAAUAUCAGUGGUCAGGAAUGUGCUGCAAGCAGAUCCUCUCUCUCUUAUUAAUUCCAGAACACCAAAUGUCUUAGUCCAUUUUGCCUUACCAUAAAGGAAUACCUAAGGCUGGUAAUUUAUAAAUAAAAGAGGUAUAUUUGGCUUAUGCUUCCACAGCCUGUACAAGAAACAUGGUGCCAGCAUCUGCUUCUGGUGAGGACUGCAGGAAGCUUCCAAUCAUGGUCCAAAAAAUGCGGAGCCUGCGUGUCACGUGAUAAGAGAUGGAGCGUGAGAAAGAGGCAGGAGGAGAAAGGUGCCAAGCUAUUUUUAACAAUCAGAUCUCGAGGGAACCAAUAAGACAAGAACUCAUGAUCUCGGCACCAAGCCAUUCUUAAGGGAUGUGCCCCAUGACUCAAACACCUCUCAUUGGCCCCACCUCUAAUUCUGAGAUCAAAUUUCAACAUGAGAUUUUGAGAGGACAAAUAUGCAAACUCUAUCACCUCGAAAGAGAAUAUUUCUGGGAAUAUUAAGAAGGGGUCACAAGGCAGACUCAGGGGUUGGGUUUUGUGUGUAACCAUGUGACCCCCACCUUUACAAGUGUCUGUAAUUCUCACUAGCAGUAUAUUAGAGGGCAAAAGAUUUGAACAGACACAUCAGAAAAGAAGACAUACAAAUGGCCGCUAAGCACUUGAAAGGAUUCUGAACACCAUUAGUCAUCAGUGAAAUGCAAAUUAAAGCCAUAAUGAAUGGCGCUAUACAUUUUCAGAAUGGCAAGGAUUGAAGACCGAAAAAAAUCAAGCGUUGAGGAGAGUGACAAAUGGGGAGACAGCCGUGGUGCAUGAUCGCCGAAUAAAUACCAUGUGAGGAUACAGCAAGAAGGUGGCCAUCUACAAGCCAAGGAGACAGGCCUCAGAAGAAACCAACCCUUCUUACACCCUGGACUCAGACUUCUAAUCUCCAGAACUUGUUAAUGCACAAGGUCUUGUGUUGAAAAUGUAGAGCCACGAGAUAAAAGCAGCUUGGAUGGCUGACUCAUAUACAAGGACAACUGCCUGAGAGUCACCAGGGCUAUCAAGAAGUUUGCAGAAACAAGAAAUAAACUUUUACUGUUUUAAACUUUUGUGAAUUUUGGGUUUUGUUUAUCACCAAAUAAACCUAGUCUAUUCUGAUUGUUAUAAGUGGUUAAUUUGGGAAGUCAGAUAUAUUUAAAAUUGGCUUACUGCUGUAACAUAUACAGUCCAAAUUACAUAAUGGCUCAAAUGCAAUAGAAGUCUUUUUUUUUUUUGCUCACAUAUCACUUCACUGAGAUUCUGCAUUAAUUGUAAUGAUGAGGGUGAGGGUGUCU